UUGAACGCUGGCGGCAUGCCUUACACAUGCAAGUCGAACGGCAGCACGGGUGCUUGCACCUGGUGGCGAGUGGCGAACGGGUGAGUAAUACAUCGGAACAUGUCCUGUAGUGGGGGAUAGCCCGGCGAAAGCCGGAUUAAUACCGCAUACGAUCUACGGAUGAAGGCGGGGGACCUUCGGGCCUCGCGCUAUAGGGUUGGCCGAUGGCUGAUUAGCUAGUUGGUGGGGUAAAGGCCUACCAAGGCGACGAUCAGUAGCUGGUCUGAGAGGACGACCAGCCACACUGGGACUGAGACACGGCCCAGACUCCUACGGGAGGCAGCAGUGGGGAAUUUUGGACAAUGGGCGAAAGCCUGAUCCAGCAAUGCCGCGUGUGUGAAGAAGGCCUUCGGGUUGUAAAGCACUUUUGUCCGGAAAGAAAUCCUUGGCCCUAAUACGGUCGGGGGAUGACGGUACCGGAAGAAUAAGCACCGGCUAACUACGUG
rnacentral:rRNA from 1 species